rnacentral:lncRNA from 1 species
CAAAACUCUGAUGUUUCUAACACAGCUGUGGCUCAAGCUCACGAUUUUGCCUCCAACUCACAGCCACUAGAAUGAAACCUCACUGGAGUGGUUCUCCGUCUCAUAGAGCGCCUCACUAUCAAGAGAACUAGAAGUGCUUAUAUACCUGGGGCAGUGACGAGACUGUGACUGUAGGACUUGAGAGGCAGAGGCAGGAGGCAAAGGCAAGCUCAAGGCCAACCUGGGAGCCUAGUGAGUACCAGCCCAGCUGGGGCCAGCAUCUCCCUCCCAAACCCGAAGACACCGUAAGCAUCAGUGGAUGUCAGUGCAAAGCUGCCCGGAUGUUUGGAUCUGGAUUUUCAACUAUUGACUGCUACGGAGAGCAUAGAACAUGGAAUUUUCAUCGCUCACCUGGGUUUUACUCUGGUUAGAGGCAUCUCAAGGAUUCUUCAUGUGGCUGGC